rnacentral:misc_RNA from 1 species
UUCUCUUUUUUCGAUACCAGUCAGCUGGUCCAGGGUGUCGUGGAAAGCGCCAUACAUCCUAGCACCAUUUCGCCGUAUGAACGUUAAGGGUCGUAACAGUGACAUUUUAUCUAUAGUUUUUUAAAAUAUUAUCAUAGAAAAAUUGCUGACUAUAAAAUAAUCACGCGUUAUUUAAUUAACUCACAAGAUUGAACUUUUUAAAAAUUCUAAAUGAUUCCAAUUAUAUGUGAAAUUUAAUUAUCUGACAGCUUCUGUUAACU